GGCGCAAUAGCAAUAGGCUAGCGCGUCUGACUGUUAAUCAGGAGGUUGGAAGUUCGAGCCUUCC
rnacentral:tRNA from 1 species